GUGAAUGUUUUGGCCCCACUCUGUCUGGCACGUUAGGUCCUGGCAAUCUCCGUUGCUGACAGCCUCUCUGUUCUGCAGUUCCGGAACUUUAAGAUCAUUUACCGCCGCUAUGCUGGCCUCUACUUCUGCAUCUGUGUGGAUGUCAAUGACAACAACCUGGCUUACCUGGAGGCCAUUCACAACUUCGUGGAGGUCUUAAACGAAUAUUUCCACAAUGUCUGUGAACUGGACCUGGUGUUCAACUUCUACAAGGUUUACACGGUCGUGGACGAGAUGUUCCUGGCUGGCGAAAUCCGAGAGACCAGCCAGACGAAGGUGCUGAAACAGCUGCUGAUGCUACAGUCCCUGGAGUGAG
rnacentral:lncRNA from 1 species